GACUACUGCCGCCGACGGCGUCGAUGCAUCUACAUAUGAGUACUCUCGCCGCCUCUUUUUUUUAACUUGGAUCACCUAUUUUUGAUUUGAACAUUCAAGCUUCGUCGUGUAUCAAGAUUGUUUCUUUUAUUUUAUGUGUGGAAUGGUUGAUUUUUGCGAUAGGAGCGGUGAUGAGCAAUCUUUGUGGACUAGAGUUUCUGAUACUACGAAGGUAGUAUUUGACGACCAAACCCUUGGCUGUCUGAGCUCCCAAUUCACAGUCUUAGCCUUUUUUGCUGUUCAUAUAUGUACUAGACUAGUGGUCUUUAUUUCCUGUUAUAAUGCUAUGGUAUAGUGAGAUUUUGAGCAAUGAUGAACAACUGUGUUUUGGACUAGAGUUUCUGAUGCUACUACUUCGUUGGUGGUAGUUGAAGACCAAACCCUUGGCUGUCUGAACUCAUCUCACAAACCAUCAUUAUGCUUGUUGGUUCUUCGUAGUUAUUAAAAAUAUAUUUUGUUGCAUGCGUCCAUUACCAAUUCCGGAGGAUGAUUUUGUUCCCUCACGGUAUAAUGGCUCGGGCGCAACAUGCUAUUCUCUUGAUGUGCGGUCAUAUCCUUAUUGGUUGCGUUCUUAUGCCAAUCCGGCCCUGGAAAGCUCGCAUAUAGUAUUGACAUGUUAAAUAUUCUACAUUUUCCCCCAUUUGUUUCAGGAUCUAAAUGAUGUGAAACUUUGAAAGGGAAAGCGUCCAAUCUGUUCGAUUGUGAUGUACCAUGACAGUUCUUUCAUAUUGAAUAGGAAGAUCUGAUAGAUUCUUGAAACUUGUUUUUGAUUCUUUCCUCUGUUUAGAGAUGUGGAUGAUGACAACACAAUUAAAAUACAGUUAUCCCUGUCUGAUUCCUUCAAAAAGGGUGCUGAGAACAUUUUUC